GACGAACGCUGGCGGCGUGCCUAAUACAUGCAAGUUGAGCGCUGAAGGUUGGUACUUGUACCAACUGGAUGAGCAGCGAACGGGUGAGUAACGCGUGGGGAAUCUGCCUUUGGGCGGGGGACAACAUUUGGAAACGAAUGCUAAUACCGCAUAAAAACUUUAAACACAAGUUUUAAGUUUGAAAGAUGCAAUUGCAUCACUCAAAGAUGAUCCCGCGUUGUAUUAGCUAGUUGGUGAGGUAAAGGCUCACCAAGGCGAUGAUACAUAGCCGACCGGAGAGGGUGAUCCGCCAAAAUGGGACUGAGACAAGGCCCAAAAUCCUAAGGGAGGCAGCAGUAGGGAAUCGUCGGCAAUGGACGAAAGUCUGACCGAGCAAAGCCGCGUGAGGGAAGAAGGGUUUCGGAUCGUAAAACUCUGUUGGUAGAGAAGAACGUUGGUGAGAGUGGAAAGCUCAUCAAGUGACGGUAACUACCCAGAAAGGGACGGCUAACUACGUG
rnacentral:rRNA from 1 species